rnacentral:rRNA from 1 species
GAUGGGACAAGCAAAUUUCCCCAAAAACACAAAGUUUUGGUCCUAAACUUACCGUUGUUUUUARUCAAAAUUACACAUGCAAGCAUCCGCGAACCAGUGAGAAUGCCCUAUUAAGUACCAAGGAGCAGGUAUCAGGCACAACAAAUUAKCCCAAAACACCUUGCUAUGCCACACCCACACGGGCACCCAGCAGUGAUAAAUAUUAAGCAAUGAGUGAACAACCAACUUAAAGCUCGACUUAGUUAUGAAUAAAAGGGCCGGUCAACCUCGUGCCAGCCACCGCGGUUAUACGAGGGGCCCAAAACAUCGGACAUCGGCGUAAAUUAUGGCUAGAGAAACUACUUACAACACGGGAAAUAAACACAAACCCUACCGUAAAAACUGAGACAAAAGAAACCCAAAUUCCCAAGCAUAAAGUAACUUGAACCCAUGAAGACUAAGAAACAAACUAGGAUUAGAUACCCUACUAUGCUUAGUUGUUAACACGACAUUAAACAACACCAAUGUCCGCCAGAGGAUUACGCGCGAAAAGCUUAAAACUCAAAGGACUUGGCGGUGCUCCGUACUCGCCUUAGAGGAGCCUGUCCUAUAAUCGAUACCCCACGCUUUACCUUACCAUCUUUUGUAAAACAGCCUAUAUACCGCCGUCGCAAACUUACCC